CUUAAAACAGAGUGCGAUAGCAUGUUCCAUCGCUGCGCGAAUUGCUAGUCCUUCAGCCACGAGGGACGAGAUCACACGCGCAAUAGAUCGACUAUGAGAGCUAAAUCUCUCAUUCUGACUUCCGUAGAAACUCCAAGCUAGACCAGCUGCUUGAAGCUCUUCCUUCCACGCUGCAUCUGACCUGAAGAUCACUUCAAAUUCACCUCUGCUUCGCGUGCUGUUCUUCCUCUGCGUCUCUGAUAGCCCAAAGAAUCCAUGGACCAAGGGAUCCUUUUCCAAGAUCUGUAGGGGGGAGAGUUUUUGCUUGCAAGAGUAUUUUCCAUUCCACAUCAAAAUUGUUCAGAGGCCUUGGCGUGAAGCCACCAGAGAAAGACAUGUUGCUACUAGAUUACUAGUACCACUAUCUGCAAAGCUCUCUCAGCAGCCUGAGAAUGGCAAUUGGCGCAACAACCUUAUGUGUCCUCCCAAGGGCACGCUACUCCGCCUGAUGUACACGCCUUAUUGCCCUCUGGCUGUUUCCAAUAUGCAAAAUGGAUGCAGCAUGGUCAAAAGAAACAGGAGCUGCAGGUUUAGGAUGGAUCUUCGAUCCUGGUCAUCCAGACAUAACAAUCUGCCAAUCCAAGAGCAUUAUUUCUGUUUCAUCGUCUUUAAUGGCUGAAGCACUCGCUAUACUCGGAGCAAUCUUCUCAGCAAAGCAACGUCUUCUCUCCAAAGUCUGGUUUCGAUCUGACUCUCAAAGACUCAUCCAAGCUAUCAACUUGAAAUUCUCAGUUGAGCUUUAUGGAGUUCCAUUGAUAUCGAAUUUCUAUUCUCGUAUUUCAGUUUCUCUUUGUUUUCUUUCAUUCUUAGAACUUGAAAACAUGAUGGCAACCGAAAACAUGAUGGCGGGCGGAUUCUCUGGCGGGUGUAAUCUCUACCUUCUUGUAUUAGACUUCAGUUUCUAUUAAUCAAAUGGGUGUUCAAAAAAAAAGAAACAUUUAACAUGAUGAAUAAGGAUAAAGGGACCACCAGUGCUACAUGUCAAUUUUUAAAGAUUUUUGAUAUCUUUAUAUCAUUCUAGUUAUUUAAAAUUAAUUCUAUAAUUAUAGAUGAAAUAAUUUAUUUUAUUUUUAUAUAAAAAAAUUAAUUUUAUUUUUAAUUUGAAUAUAUCAAAGUAAUUAUUAAUUAGUAAAAUAAAGAAUUCACUUUAUUAAACAAAUCAUUGUAAUGAGUAAAAUUGAAUGUACUAAA